rnacentral:rRNA from 1 species
AGUGAACGCUGGCGGUAGGCCUUACACAUGCAAGUCGAACGGCAGCACAGUAAGAGCUUGCUCUUACGGGUGGCGAGUGGCGGACGGGUGCGGAAUACGUCGGAAUCUACUUUUUCGUGGGGGGUAACGUAGGGAAACUUACGCUAAUACCGCAUACGACCUACGGGUGAAAGCAGGGGAUCUUCGGACCUUGCGCGAUUGAAUGAGCCGAUGUCGGAUUAGCUAGUUGGCGGGGUAAAGGCCCACCAAGGCGACGAUCCGUAGCUGGUCUGUGAGGAUGAUCAGCCACACUGGAACUGAGACACGGUCCAGACUCCUACGGGAGGCAGCAGUGGGGAAUAUUGGACAAUGGGCGCAAGCCUGAUCCAGCAAUGCCGCGUGGGUGAAGAAGGCCUUCGGGUUGUAAAGUCCUUUUGUUGGGAAAGAAAAGCAGCAGGUUAAUACCCCGCUGUUCUGACGGUACCCAAAGAAUAAGCACCGGCUAACUUCGUG